rnacentral:rRNA from 1 species
CAGUCGAACGGAGCUUAGAGAGCUUGCUUUUUAAGCUUAGUGGCGAACGGGUGAGUAACGCGUGAGUAACCUGCCCUAGAGUGGGGGACAACAGUUGGAAACGACUGCUAAUACCGCAUAAGCCCACGGUACCGCAUGGUACUGAGGGAAAAGGAUUUAUUCGCUUUAGGAUGGACUCGCGUCCAAUUAGCUAGUUGGUGAGGUAACGGCCCACCAAGGCGACGAUUGGUAGCCGGACUGAGAGGUUGAACGGCCACAUUGGGACUGAGACACGGCCCAGACUCCUACGGGAGGCAGCAGUGGGGGAUAUUGCACAAUGGGGGAAACCCUGAUGCAGCGACGCCGCGUGGAGGAAGAAGGUUUUCGGAUUGUAAACUCCUGUCGUUAGGGACGAUAAUGACGGUACCUAACAAGAAAGCACCGGCUAACUACGUGCCAGCAGCCGCGGUAAAACGUAGGGUGCAAGCGUUGUCCGGAAUUACUGGGUGUAAAGGGAGCGCAGGCGGGAAGACAAGUUGGAAGUGAAAACCAUGGGCUCAACCCAUGAAUUGCUUUCAAAACUGUUUUCCUUGAGUAGUGCAGAGGUAGAUGGAAUUCCCGGUGUAGCGGUGGAAUGCGUAGAUAUCGGGAGGAACACCAGUGGCGAAGGCGGUCUACUGGGCACCAACUGACGCUGAGGCUCGAAAGCAUGGGUAGCAAACAGGAUUAGAUACCCUGGUAGUCCAUGCCGUANACGAUGAUUACUAGGUGUUGGGGGNUUGA